CUUGCAGAUACCGUAGAAUUCGUAGUGAACGAUAGAGCAAUUGAUUCCAUUCGUUUAUACAAUCAAAAAUGCUAUCACAAAAAAGGCGAAUGUGCAGAAAUUAAUUGCCGGUGUUUUAACAAAGAUAAUUCGUUUAUCUUUAUUUACAAGCAUCAUACUAUUCUAUCGGACGAAUCUUGCAUAUAUGGAUUUAUAUUUGUUAUCAAAGACAUACAGGAGCAGACGAUAACAUUAACAAGGAAUUUCAACGGAAAACAUUUUGGGUCUCUCCAAAUCCAUGCAGAGCUACACAAUCCUGUUGACACGAUCUAUGUAAAUAAAGGUCUAAAGACUGAUUUAACAAGUACAACAUUCAG